rnacentral:tRNA from 1 species
GUAAAUAUAGUUUAAAAAAAACAUUAGACUGUGAAUCUAACAAAAGGAGAUAAACCUCCUUAUUUACC